rnacentral:rRNA from 1 species
UACGUAGGGGGCAAGCGUUGUCCGGAAUUAUUGGGCGUAAAGCGCGCGCAGGCGGUCCCUUAAGUCUGAUGUGAAAGCCCCCGGCUCAACCGUGGAGGGUCAUUGGAAACUGGGGGACUUGAGUACAGAAGAGGAAAGCGGAAUUCCACGUGUAGCGGUGAAAUGCGUAGAGAUGUGGAGGAACACCAGUGGCGAAGGCGGCUUUCUGGUCUGUAACUGACGCUGAGGCGCGAAAGCUAGGGUAGCAAACGGG